CUACGGGGCGCUGCAGUGAGGAAUAUUGCACAAUGGGGGGAACCCUGAUGCAGCAACGCCGCGUGGAGGAUGACGCAUUUCGGUGUGUAAACUCCUUUUAUAUGUCAAGAAAAUGACGGUAGCAUAUGAAUAAGCACCGGCUAACUCCGUGCCAGCAGCCGCGGUAAUACGGAGGGUGCAAGCGUUACUCGGAAUCACUGGGCGUAAAGGACGCGUAGGCGGGCUUGUAAGUCAGGUGUGAAAUCCUACAGCUUAACUGUAGAACUGCACUUGAAACUACGAGCCUAGAGUAUGGGAGGGGCAGAUGGAAUUAGUGGUGUAGGGGUAAAAUCCGUAGAUAUCACUAGGAAUACCUAAAGCGAAGGCGAUCUGCUGGAACAUAACUGACGCUAAGGCGUGAAAGCGUGGGGAGCAAACAGGAUUAGAUACCCCAGUAGUC
rnacentral:rRNA from 1 species